rnacentral:rRNA from 1 species
AGACGAGGAGCUUGCUCCUCUGACGUUAGCGGCGGACGGGUGAGUAACACGUGGAUAACCUACCUAUAAGACUGGGAUAACUUCGGGAAACCGGAGCUAAUACCGGAUAAUAUAUUGAACCGCAUGGUUCAAUAGUGAAAGACGGUUUUGCUGUCACUUAUAGAUGGAUCCGCGCCGCAUUAGCUAGUUGGUAAGGUAACGGCUUACCAAGGCAACGAUGCGUAGCCGACCUGAGAGGGUGAUCGGCCACACUGGAACUGAGACACGGUCCAGACUCCUACGGGAGGCAGCAGUAGGGAAUCUUCCGCAAUGGGCGAAAGCCUGACGGAGCAACGCCGCGUGAGUGAUGAAGGUCUUCGGAUCGUAAAACUCUGUUAUUAGGGAAGAACAAAUGUGUAAGUAACUAUGCACGUCUUGACGGUACCUAAUCAGAAAGCCACGGCUAACUACGUGCCAGCAGCCGCGGUAAUACGUAGGUGGCAAGCGUUAUCCGGAAUUAUUGGGCGUAAAGCGCGCGUAGGCGGUUUUUUAAGUCUGAUGUGAAAGCCCACGGCUCAACCGUGGAGGGUCAUUGGAAACUGGAAAACUUGAGUGCAGAAGAGGAAAGUGGAAUUCCAUGUGUAGCGGUGAAAUGCGCAGAGAUAUGGAGGAACACCAGUGGCGAAGGCGACUUUCUGGUCUGUAACUGACGCUGAUGUGCGAAAGCGUGGGGAUCAAACAGGAUUAGAUACCCUGGUAGUCCACGCCGUAAACGAUGAGUGCUAAGUGUUAGGGGGUUUCCGCCCCUUAGUGCUGCAGCUAACGCAUUAAGCACUCCGCCUGGGGAGUACGACCGCAAGGUUGAAACUCAAAGGAAUUGACGGGGACCCGCACAAGCGGUGGAGCAUGUGGUUAAUUCGAAGCAACGCGAAGACCUUACCAAUC